rnacentral:misc_RNA from 1 species
GGAAUAUAUUAGCAAGGGCAAGGAAUGAGGGACGACUCUUUUCUAGGGUGGAGUGGCCUAGAGAUCCUGAAAUUAAAGAACAGGUGAAAAGGCUGCAUUUACUUCUUACUGUGAAGGAUUCGGCUGCUAACAUUCCUAAGAAUCUCGAAGCAAGAAGAAGAUUGGAGUUCUUUACAAAUUCUUUGUUUAUGGACAUGCCACCUGCAAAGCCAGUUAGUGAGAUGAUGCCUUUCUGUGUAUUCACCCCAUACUAUAGUGAGACAGUUCUAUAUAGUUCCUCUGAUCUGCGAGAAGAAAAUGAAGAUGGCAUAUCUACCCUGUUCUAUCUUCAGAAAAUAUUCCCAGAUGAGUGGGAGAAUUUCUUGGAGCGGAUUGGUCGAGGUGAUAGUGGUGAUAAUGACAUUCAGGAAGGCUCCAGUGAUGCCUUGGACCUUCGAUUUUGGGCAUCUUACCGGGGCCAAACUCUAGCUAGGACAGUGCGUGGCAUGAUGUAUUACAGAAGGGCAUUAAUGCUACAAAGUUACUUGGAAAGGAGAUCUCUAGGAGGAGUGGAUGGUCAUUCUCACACAAACUCUCUCACAAGUCAAGGGUUCGAAUUAUCACGAGAAGCACGGGCUCAAGCUGAUUUGAAGUUUACUUAUGUAAUUUCAUGCCAAAUCUAUGGGCAGCAAAAACAACGAAAGGCUCCUGAGGCUACGGAUAUUGGUCUUUUAUUGCGAAGGAAUGAAGCACUUCGUGUUGCUUUCAUACACGUUGAGGAGAUCACAGGGGAUGAUGGGAAAGUUUCAAAGGAAUUCUAUUCGAAGCUUGUUAAAGCUGAUGCACAUGGGAAAGAUCAGGAAAUAUAUUCAGUUAAGCUUCCUGGAGAUCCAAAACUUGGAGAAGGCAAACCAGAAAACCAGAACCAUUCUAUAAUAUUUACCCGUGGGGAAGCAGUUCAAACCAUUGAUAUGAAUCAGGAUAACUACCUUGAGGAAGCAAUGAAAGUCAGAAAUCUUCUGGAGGAAUUCCAUGGUAAACAUGGGCUCCGGCCACCCACUAUUCUUGGUGUUAGGGAGCAUGUUUUUACUGGAAGUGUGUCUUCGCUCGCUUGGUUUAUGUCCAACCAGGAAACCAGUUUUGUCACCUUGGGCCAACGUGUUUUAGCAAAGCCUCUCAAGGUUCGCAUGCACUAUGGACAUCCCGAUAUCUUCGACCGGAUCUUUCAUAUCACACGGGGUGGCAUUAGUAAAGCAUCACGUGUUAUCAACAUAAGUGAAGACAUCUAUGCCGGUUUUAAUUCCACUUUAAGGCAGGGUAAUAUUACCCACCAUGAGUAUAUUCAGGUUGGAAAGGGAAGAGAUGUUGGUUUAAAUCAAAUAGCUUUAUUUGAAGGCAAGGUAGCUGGUGGAAACGGAGAGCAGGUUCUGAGCAGGGAUGUGUACAGAAUUGGCCAACUUUUUGAUUUCUUUAGGAUGCUCUCGUUCUUCUUCACCACAGUUGGUUAUUAUGUUUGUACAAUGAUGACAGUCCUUACUGUGUAUAUUUUCUUAUAUGGAAGAGCAUAUCUGGCUUUCUCUGGACUAGAUGAAGGAAUAUCGAGGAGAGCUAGAUUUCUGGGUAACACUGCACUAAAUGCCGCUUUGAAUGCUCAAUUUUUUGUUCAGAUAGGAAUUUUCACUGCAGUUCCCAUGAUUAUGGGUUUCAUUCUUGAACUUGGUUUGCUAAAGGCUGUCUUCAGCUUUAUUACGAUGCAGCUUCAGUUUUGUUCUGUCUUCUUUACUUUUUCACUUGGGACCAGGACUCACUAUUUUGGACGUACUAUCCUUCACGGUGGUGCAAAGUACCGGGCGACUGGACGAGGUUUUGUUGUUCGUCACAUCAAGUUUGCGGAGAACUAUAGGCUUUAUUCCAGAAGUCAUUUUGUUAAAGCGUUGGAAGUGGCUUUACUUCUUAUAGUGUACUUGGCUUAUGGUUACACGAAUGGAAGCACUACUUCCUUUAUCUUACUAACUCUCAGCAGUUGGUUCCUUGUCAUUUCAUGGCUAUUUGCUCCUUACAUCUUCAAUCCCUCUGGAUUUGAGUGGCAAAAGACCGUUGAGGACUUUGAUGAUUGGACCAACUGGCUUAUGUACAAGGGUGGAGUAGGUGUCAAGGGAGACGACAGCUGGGAGUCCUGGUGGGAUGAAGAACAGAUUCAUAUCCAGACUUUGAGAGGACGGAUACUAGAGACUAUAUUGAGUCUCAGAUUUUUUCUCUUCCAGUAUGGCAUUGUCUAUAAACUUCAGUUGACGGGAACAGACACUUCCCUUGCGAUAUAUGGCUUUUCUUGGAUUGUACUGGUGGGAGUUGUUAUGAUCUUCAAGAUCUUUACUUUCAGCCCUAAAAAAUCCACCAACUUCCAGCUCAUGCUGCGAUUUAUUCAAGGAGUUACAGCUUUGGGACUUGUUGCAGCUCUUUGCCUUGUUGUGGCUCUUACCGAACUGUCUGUUGCUGAUUUGUUUGCUAGUGUCCUCGCCUUUAUUGCAACUGGUUGGGCUGUCCUUUGCCUGGCAAUCACAUGGAAGAGGGUUGUGUGGAGUUUGGGUCUGUGGGAAUCUGUGAAGGAAUUUGCUAGAAUGUAUGAUGCUGGGAUGGGUAUCAUUAUUUUUGCUCCAGUGGCAAUAUUAUCAUGGUUCCCAUUUGUCUCUACCUUCCAGUCGCGGAUACUCUUUAACCAAGCAUUCAGUCGUGGUCUGGAGAUCUCUCUCAUUCUUGCUGGGAACAAAGCAAAUGUUGAACCCUCGACAUUUUAGAUUUUAGAAAAAGGGCCUAUAUCCAUGUAGAAUUUGUAUAGUUUGCAAAUUGGUAGACUGUAUCAUAUGCCUUUUGUCUAAUUAUUUCAUAGUUAGGAGGGUACUCUGAGAUGGCAAGUACAUUAACUAUUUUAGACAUCAUUUUGGCAUCUCAAGUUCCAUCUGUAAGUUUGAUAUGACGUAUGGACAAAUUAGCCCUAUAAUGCAGUAUACAUGAAGAUGGGGUGACCAAAUUUAUUUUGGUUGUAUUUAGGAUCAUGGCAAUUUUGCUCCUUUUUUUGUAUCUGUCGUUUCUUCAUAGCUGUAAUGAGGGUUAAUACUGCAUUUUUG